AUGCCUGCAAUUAGAUUACAGAGUUCUAAUGGAGAGAUAUUUGAAGCUGAUGUUGAAAUUGCCAAACAAUCUGUGACUAUCAAGACCAUGUUAGAAGAUUUGGGAAUGGAUGCUGAAGGCGAUGAUGGCCCAGUUCCUCUACCAAAUGUUAACGCAGCAACAUUAAAAAAGGGCUUUCAAUGCUGCACCCACCACAAGGAUGACCCUCCUCCUCCUGAGGACAGUGAGAACAAAGAAAAGUGAACAGAUGAUAUCCCUGUUUGGGACCAAGAAUUGCUCAAAGUUGACCAAGGAACACUAUUUAAACUUAUUCUGGCUGCAAACUAUUUAGACAUCAAAGGUUUGCUUGAGGUUACAUGCAAGACUGUUGCCAAUAUGAUCAAGGGGAAAACCCCUGAAGAGCUUCGCAAGACCUUCAAUCUCAAAAAUGACUUUACUGAAGAAGAGGAAGCCCAGGUACGCAAAGAGAACCAGUGGUGUGAAGAGAGUGAAAAGUUGUGUCUGACACUGUAAGGAUUGUUUCAAAUA